GCCUGGAUGGCUCAGUCAGUUAAGCAUCUGACUUCAGCUCAGGUCAUGAUCUCACAGUUUGUGGGUUCAGUCCCAUGUCAGGCU
rnacentral:tRNA from 1 species